GAUGAACGCUGGCGGCGUGCCUAAUACAUGCAAGUCGAGCGAACGGACGAGAAGCUUGCUUUUCUGAUGUUAGCGGCGGACGGGUGAGUAACACGUGGAUAACCUACCUAUAAGACUGGGAUAACCUCGGGAAACCGGAGCUAAUACCGGAUAAUAUUUUGAACCGCAUGGUUCAAAAGUGAAAGACGGUCUUGCUGUCACUUAUAGAUGGAUCCGCGCUGCAUUAGCUAGUUGGUAAGGUAACGGCUUACCAAGGCAACGAUGCAUAGCCGACCUGAGAGGGUGAUCGGCCACACUGGAACUGAGACACGGUCCAGACUCCUACGGGAGGCAGCAGUAGGGAAUCUUCCGCAAUGGGCGAAAGCCUGACGGAGCAACGCCGCGUGAGUGAUGAAGGUCUUCGGAUCGUAAAACUCUGUUAUUAGGGAAGAACAUAUGUGUAAGUAGCUGUGCACAUCUUGACGGUACCUAAUCAGAAAGCCACGGCUAACUACGUG
rnacentral:rRNA from 1 species